UGGUGUGUAACUCAUGUGGUAGAGUAGUAGACUUUUAAUCUGUAAGUAGUUGGUUCGAGUCCAACCACAUCAG
rnacentral:tRNA from 1 species